AUUGAACGCUGGCGGCAGGCCUAACACAUGCAAGUCGAACGAGUGGCGGACGGGUGAGUAAUGUCUGGGAAACUGCCUGAUGGAGGGGGAUAACUACUGGAAACGGUAGCUAAUAACGCAUACCAUCGGAUGUGCCCAGAUGGGAUUAGGUAGUAGGUGGGGUAAAGGCUCACCUAGGCGACGAUCCCUCGCUGGUCUGAGAGGAUGACCAGCCACAGUGGAACUUAGACACGGUCCGUACUCCUACGGGAGGCAGCAGUUGGGAAUAUUGCACAAUGUGCGCAAGCCUGAUGCUGCCAUGCCGCGUGUAUGAAGAAGGCCUUCGGGUUUGAAAGUACUUUCAGCGGGGAGGCGUUACCCGCAGAAGAAGCACCGGCUAACUCCGUGCCAGCAGCCGCGGUAAUUC
rnacentral:rRNA from 1 species